CCAAGGAGUCUAACAUGUGCGCGAGUCGUUGGGUCGUCUUCCCCAGGACGAAACCCGUUCGGCGCAAUGAAAGUGAAGGUCGGUGCCACCCACGGGUGGCCCGGCGAAGCGGGAUCCGCACAAAAAUUUUGUAAAAAGGGCUGCGGACUAAAAUGAAAAGCCCUGCGGCGCACCGCUGGCCCGUCUCUUCCGCAACGUCGGUGAGGCGGAGCUUGAGCGUACACGUUGGGACCCGAAAGAUGGUGAACUAUGCUUGGGCAGGACGAAGCCAGAGGAAACUCUGGUGGAGGUCCGUAGCGAUUCUGACGUGCAAAUCGAUCGUCAGACCUGAGUAUAGGGGCGAAAGACUAAUCGAACCAUCUA
rnacentral:rRNA from 1 species